AGUGAACGCUGGCGGUAGGCCUAACACAUGCAAGUCGAACGGCAGCACAGUAAGAGCUUGCUCUUACGGGUGGCGAGUGGCGGACGGGUGAGGAAUACAUCGGAAUCUACUUUUUCGUGGGGGAUAACGUAGGGAAACUUACGCUAAUACCGCAUACGACCUCCGGGUGAAAGCAGGUGAUCUUCGGACCUUGCGCGAUUGAAUGAGCCGAUGUCGGAUUAGCUAGUUGGCGGGGUAAAGGCCCACCAAGGCGACGAUCCGUAGCUGGUCUGAGAGGAUGAUCAGCCACACUGGAACUGAGACACGGUCCAGACGACUACGGGAGGCAGCAGUGGGGAAUAUGGGGCAAUGGGCGCAAGCCUGAUCCAGCCAUACCGCGUGGGUGAAGAAGGCCUUCGGGUUGUAAAGCCCUUUUGUUGGGAAAGAAAAGCAGCAGGUUAAUACCCCGCUGUUCUGACGGUACCCAAAGAAUAAGCACCGGCUAACUUCGUG
rnacentral:rRNA from 1 species